rnacentral:rRNA from 1 species
UGAGCAAUCUGCCCUUCUCUUCGGAAUAAGCGUGGGAAACCGCGUCUAAUGCCGAAUACGACCUCCUUUCGCAUGAUCGGAGGUGGAAAGCUCCGGCGGAGAAGGAUGAGCUCGCGGCCUAUCAGCUAGUUGGUGUGGGUAAUGGCCCCCACAAGGCGACGACGGGUAGCCGGCCUGAGAGGGUGACCGGCCACACUGGGACUGAGACACGGCCCAGACUCCUACGGGAGGNAG